GUCCUCAGCCUGCAGAAGCUCCACUGCGAGUGUGUUCAUGUGAAGAUGUCGUUCUGAUGUGUGUGUGUGUGUGUUCAGGAUGCGUCGCUCGCCGGCUCUGCGCUGUGUGUGUGUUUGUGUGCUGCUGAGUGUGUGCUGUCGAGCGUUUGAGCUGCAGGACACCAUCCACGCUCUGAUCGAGGAGAACAUCCACCUCCACGACCAGCUGGAGAACCUGACGAGAGCCCUGCGAGAGCUGCGGCAGCUCCUGUUCCAGCACAGCGACGAUCACACUCAUGAACACGAUGAGGAGCUUCAGCAUCUCUGGGAGGAAUGGACACAGCACAGCAUCACACCUGAGACUCACCUGCUGCUGGAGCAUGCUCUCUGUGGACACGACCUCCAUGGCUCCGCCCACUCCAGUUCAGGACACGCCCCCUUUGUAUUUCUCACUUUUAUCGUUCUUGCACACAUUCUUUUAUGAAGUGCAUAUGCAGAACUACAGCGUGAGUGAGUCUAUUCAACUAUUUGACAUCAGGUGCAUUAAAUCCAGUUCGAUCAACACUGAUUGUCAAUCUUGGUGAAGUUUGUUUUUGAAAAAAAGCAGGAUAAUACAGACUACAGAGUAGUUUAUCAGGUGAUAGUUUGAGGCCAGCGUGUGUUUUUUCACCCUAGAACAUUUUACAUUCUUGCCAAACAACAACAGACUUGAAAAUGUAAUGUGCUUAUAAGCUUAUACUUGUACGGAUUUUUUUUUUUUUGUGGAGUGUACUGUAUUUGUCAGCACUUAAUAUGUGCCAGUAAAGCAGGUAAAACCGUCAUCAGGUUAAAUACUAUUAAUCUUUGUAUGCAGAACAAGGUCAGAAGAGUUUUUUAAUGCAACUCAUUUUUAAUUCAAAUUGCUGCAGUUGCAACACAUUGGGUUGAAGAACCUGCUGAAGUGUUUUAAAUUGUUCAUUGUCUUGUCAGUGCCCGACUGUCUCUGUAUUCAUUUGUAUUAAACCCAACAAGCAAUCACUGGAAAUCAAGUCUAAAAUACAAAAUAACGG
rnacentral:lncRNA from 1 species